rnacentral:rRNA from 1 species
GACGAACCGUGCGAACGUUAUUCGGAAUCACUGGGCUUAAAGCGCGUGUAGGCGGGCCAGCACGUCGGGCGCUGAAAUCCCCCGGCUCAACCGGGGAACGGGCACCGAUACGACUGGCCUGGAGGGGAGUGAGGGGGACCUGGAACUUCCGGUGGAGCGGUGAAAUGCGUUGAGAUCGGAAGGAACGCCCGUGGCGAAAGCGAGGUCCUGGGCUCUUACUGACGCUGAGACGCGAAAGCCAGGGGAGCGAACGGGAUAGAAACCCCUG